UAGAUGGUUUGUUUGGAAGUAUACUGGGUUGUCAGCCUUAAGGUUUUACUGUAUAAUCUGGCUUCCCUGUUUUGCUCUUGGUUUUGAGGGAAAAGGACACUUUGGCUUUUGUGCAAAAAUACAAAAAAGUCACAGUUAUUGUGCGACAAGUCAAUAAUAACCACAACUUUCACGACUUUUCACAAUUUUUUUUUAUUUGUGAUUUUUCAGCUCACACAUUUUGAUAAAUGACUGAUUUGUGGUAAUGAGUUUUUUCCAUGGUUUUAAACAAGUAUAUAGAUAGGUCAAUAUUUAUAAAUACUAAUUCUGCACAACAGUAAAAUAUUAAAUACAACAGCAGCACAAAUCAGAGUUAAGUUUUUUUGUUGAUUUCCUGUGCCUUUUUAAAAAUGUAUCAAAUAACUGAUAUUUAGAAAAUCACUGGAAAUAAAACCGGGACCAUGUAGGACUUUCUUAUUAUUAUUGUCUGUGUUCUGCUAAUCACCUUCAUACCAUUCUGUGACAUCACAUGAACAGAAGAGGGUUUAAGCAGGGAGUUGGUGUGACACUGUGACAUCACAAUGUACAGAACAGGGUUGAAGCAGGGAGUUGGUGAGGCAUUGUGACAUCACACUAUAUGCAAACGAGCAGAAGAGGAGUCAGGAGUCACUUGGAAUCUUGACUCAUUUUCAUUAAGCUUUGCAAUGAAAACAAUCAAAUAUCUAUUUUUCUUUAUUUUUUUGAUAAUAUUAUUAUUACAACUUGGCAAAUAUCAGACUGCAGGUAAAAACGCUGUUUUACAGAAUACUGUAUUUGUUAAUAUUAUUAAUUUUUCUGGUUAAUGUGAAUUAGCAAUUUCAUCACCUGUAUUUAUACUUUAUAUAAAACUCACUGCUAUUCCCUUUAGUAUGAUAUCAUGCAAUGACAUAGUGAGAUAUUUUUGAAAAAACUGGAGAAUAAACCAUACAGAUUUUGCUCAGAAUAAAUUGACUGAAGUAUUUAUUAGUAAAAACUGGAAGCAACUGUGGGAUUUAUGAUUAAGGAAUAACAAAUUGUUUCCUCUCUUGCAGAAGCAACUCAAAAUGACGAUGAUGAUGACGAUGCAUAUAUAGAUGAGGUUACUACUGGUAAGAUAUGAACUUAUUUAUGCCCAUAUCUUCUAUACCUAUUAAUAGUGAAGGUAUAUAAGUAAUUCAUUAUUUUUUUUUCUUUUCAUUGCAGUAGAAAAUGCAUUUGCAGAGAGUGAAACAGAAAAGGAUGAAGAAAGAAUCCAAAAUGCUGCUCCUGUUGAUGGAGGAGACGAUGAAGUGAAGUGCAUUCCAGAUGAGCCAGCUUCAGAGAAUGAUAGAGGCAUUGUGGCUGCUGAAAAAGAAGGCGCCAAUAAUCGGAUAAUUAGCACUGCAGGAUGGCUAAUUGGCUUGUUAGCAGCUGGAGCACUUAUAUAUUAUUUUGUAGUAAAGCGAUAUUUCAACAAGUAAGUAUCACUUUCCCCUUUUCUUUUCUAUGUUGUACCCCAAUAAAGCAAACCAUUUAUCCUAUUCUUUUCCUAUUUCCCGUUACAGAGAAACUGAAAGAACCGAAGAUGGAUUAAAGGAAGCAGAGGAAGGUGAGGCACAACAAGAGAAUGAAGAAGAUGAAUCUGAGGAGGAGGAUGAAACCCCAAAGAGAAAAAAAGUGAUGAAAAAGAAAGUAAAAAAGAAAAGAGUAGUUGAUGAAUCUGAGGAUGAGGAAGAACCCCCAAAGAGAAAAAAAGUAAUGAAGAAGAAAGUAAAAAAGAAAAGAGUGGAUGAUGAACAAACCCCAAAGAGAAAACAAGUUAUGAAGAAGAAAGUAAAAAAGAAAAGAGUGGAUGAUGAAUCUGAGGAUGAGGAAGAAGCACAAAAGACAAAAAAAGUGACAAAGAAAAAGGGGACUAAAAAAUAGUAAAAAAGACAGAUAAAUCGAAGGUGCAGACAUGAGGAAGAAAGCAGUGAAUAAUUGUUUGCGCUCCGUUACUACAUUCCCCCAACAGAUCUGUGAUAGGGAUUAAAUUACUAAAUGCUGUGAUAGGGGUGAUAGGAUUGAUAGGAUUUAUAGGGUUUAAAUUGCUUAAUGCUGAAUUUACACAAUUUUGUUUUCAAGCAUGAAGGCCU